CCUACGGGGGGCAGCAGUGAGGAAUAUUGGUCAAUGGACGGAAGUCUGAACCAGCCAUGCCGCGUGCAGGAUGACGGCUCUAUGAUUUGUAAACUGCUUUUGUACGGGAAUAAUAGUUCUUACGUGUAGAGAUUUGAAUGUAUCCUACGAAUAAGCAUCGGCUAACUCCGUGCCAGCAGCCGCGGUAAUACGGAGGAUGCGAGCGUUAUCCGGAUUUAUUGGGUUUAAAGGGUGCGUAGGGGGUUUUGUAAGUCAGCGGUCAAAGCCCGGGGCUCAACCCCAGCACCGCCGUUGAACCUGGAAGACUUGAGUGUGAGAGAGGUAUGCGGAAUGCGCGGUGUAGCGGUGAAAUGCAUAGAUAUCGCGCAGAACUCCGAUUGCGAAGGCAGCAUGC
rnacentral:rRNA from 1 species